rnacentral:lncRNA from 1 species
UUAAGGUUUAUGUACCCUUCUGUAGCCAUUUUUGUACGAACUUUUCAAACUUCAAUUGUAUCAAAACUACAGAUAUUAUGAAUAAUAGAGAUAGGCCACUUUGUACAUAUUCCAAGGGGAAACUUGAUGCAAAGCAUUUUUUUUUACUGUUCCAUUGCAUUUAAUAGAAAAAGAGGACUUUGUGGCAAAUAAAUCAAGAUUUUUAUAGAAAAUCCACAGCCUUUAUUCUUGUACUCUCAUAUUUGGCAAUUUGAUGACUGAUAGAUAUAGGAUUAUUGCAUGCAGUGCUAGCA